rnacentral:rRNA from 1 species
GAUGAACGCUGGCGGCGUGCCUAAUACAUGCAAGUCGAGCGAACAGAUGAGGAGCUUGCUCCUCUGACGUUAGCGGCGGACGGGUGAGUAACACGUGGAUAACCUACCUAUAAGACUGGGAUAACUUCGGGAAACCGGAGCUAAUACCGGAUAAUAUAUUGAACCGCAUGGUUCAAUAGUGAAAGACGGUUUUGCUGUCACUUAUAGAUGGAUCCGCGCCGCAAUAGCUAGUUGGUAAGGUAACGGCUUACCAAGGCAACGAUGCGUAGCCGACCUGAGAGGGUGAUCGGCCACACUGGAACUGAGACACGGUCCAGACUCCUACGGGAGGCAGCAGUAGGGAAUCUUCCGCAAUGGGCGAAAGCUUGACGGAGCAACGCCGCGUGAGUGAUGAAGGUCUUCGGAUCGUAAAACUCUGUUAUUAGGGAAGAACAAAUGUGUAAGUAACUAUGCACGUCUUGACGGUACCUAAUCAGAAAGCCACGGCUAACUACGUG